rnacentral:rRNA from 1 species
GUACCCUGUUGUGGGGGAUAACGAAUCGAAAGAUUCGCUAAUACCGCAUAAGACCUGAGGGUGAAAGCGGGGGAUCGCAAGACCUCGCGCGACUGGAGCGGCCGAUGUCGGAUUAGCUAGUUGGUAGGGUAAAGGCCUACCAAGGCGACGAUCCGUAGCUGGUCUGAGAGGACGACCAGCCACACUGGGACUGAGACACGGCCCAGACUCCUACGGGAGGCAGCAGUGGGGAAUUUUGGACAAUGGGGGCAACCCUGAUCCAGCCAUUCCGCGUGAGUGAAGAAGGCCUUCGGGUUGUAAAGCUCUUUCGGCAGGAACGAAACGGUGGGGGCUAAUACCCCUUGCUAAUGACGGUACCUGAAGAAGAAGCACCGGCUAACUACGUGCCAGCAGCCGCGGUAAUACGUAGGGUGCGAGCGUUAAUCGGAAUUACUGGGCGUAAAGCGUGCGCAGGCGGUUUCGUAAGACAGAUGUGAAAUCCCCGGGCUUAACCUGGGAACUGCGUUUGUGACUGCGAGACUUGAGUACGGCAGAGGGGGGUGGAAUUCCACGUGUAGCAGUGAAAUGCGUAGAGAUGUGGAGGAAAACCGAUGGCGAAGGCAGCCCCCUGGGCUAGUACUGACGCUCAUGCACGAAAGCGUGGGUAGCAAACAGGAUUAGAUACCCUGGUAGUCCACGCCCUAAACGAUGCCAACUAGGUGUUGGAGAAGGAGACUUCUUUAGUACCGAAGCUAACGCGUGAAGUUGGCCGCCUGGGGAGUACGGUCGCAAGAUUAAAACUCAAAGGAAUUGACGGGGACCCGCACAAGCGGUGGAUGAUGUGGAUUAAUUCGAUGCAACGCGAAAAACCUACCUACCCUUGACAUGCCAGGAAUCCCGCUGAGAGGUGGGAGUGCUCGAAAGAGAGCCUGGACACAGGUGCUGCAUGGCUGUCGUCAGCUCGUGUCGUGAGAUGUUGGGUUAAGUCCCGCAACGAGCGCAACCCUUGUCAUUAGUUGCCAUCAUUUAGUUGGGCACUCUAAUGAGACUGCCGGUGACAAACCGGAGGAAGGUGGGGAUGACGUCAAGUCCUCAUGGCCCUUAUGGGUAGGGCUUCACACGUCAUACAAUGGUCGGUACAGAGGGUUGCCAAGCCGCGAGGUGGAGCCAAUCCCAGAAAGCCGAUCGUAGUCCGGAUCGGAGUCUGCAACUCGACUCCGUGAAGUCGGAAUCGCUAGUAAUCGUGGAUCAGCAUGCCACGGUGAAUACGUUCCCGGGUCUUGUACACACCGCCUGUCACACCAUGGGAGUGGGUUUCACCAGAAGUAGGUAGCCUAACCGCAAGGAGGGCGCUUACCACGGUGGGAUUCAUGACUGGGGUGAAGUCGGAACAAGGUA